rfam:Daphnia magna strain Xinb3 scaffold03170, whole genome shotgun sequence.
AUAGCUUUAUUCUCAGUCCAUUUGAAAAUAAAAAGCAUAAAAUCUGUUCUUAUCAGCUUAAUAUCUGAUACGGGUUCAAAUGAACCCAAGAAUAUUAAACUGAUUUUUGGAAUUCGGUGGGAUAUCAAUGCUUGCAUUGAUCCUGCCACGGGUUGACCCGGUAUUUCAGUACCUCCGGGCUCGGCCCACCCCUU